UCCCAAGCCUUCUGGCGGUCUCUUUAAAAGCCCUCCCUUAGGCUUUCAGCAAGAAAAAGGGCUUUAAGGAAAAAGAGCUUUAAAAAAGCUUUUCCGUAAGAUAAUGCCGGGGAAGGUUUUCCGGUUUAUCCCGGAGGGCUUGUAGCUCAGUUGGUUAGAGCGCGCGCUUGAUAAGCGUGAGGUCGGAGGUUCAAGUCCUCCCAGGCCCACCAUUUUGUAUCAAUCUAUAAGCGCUUGUAGAACUUUUUUCUAUAAGGCUUUCUUUUAUACUUAUAUGAAGCUUAUCUACGAAGAAGUUUCCUUAUCAAAAUAUGAAGUUUCUUUCCUUUGCUUAAGCAAUCGGGAGUUAAAGCGGUUCAAACAAAAAGCGGUUCAAACAAACAGUGAUCCCAUAAAGGGUAAUGUUGAAUUGAAAAAUCUUAUUUACAAAUUUUGAACCUUUUCUCUUUAUUUAGGGGCCGUAGCUCAGCUGGGAGAGCACCUGCUUUGCAAGCAGG
rnacentral:misc_RNA from 1 species